GCCAAUCAAACUUGGAGAUAGCUCGUACUCCCCGAAAGGCAUUUAGGUGCCGCGUGCGACGAUUUCCAUAAGAGGUAGAGCGACCGAUAGGUCAAGAGGGCUUCACCGCCUAUCGAGACCUGACGAACUCCGAAUGCUUACGCUUUGCAGUCGUGCAGUAAGGGGGCGGGUGCUAAGGUCCGUCCCCGAGAGGAGAAGAAUCCAGACCGCCGUCUAAGGUCCCGAAAUUCUGUCUAAGUUAGUCUAACGAAGUCUGGUCCCCGUGACAGCUAGGAUGUUGGCUUGGAAGCAGCCAUUCAUUCAAAGAGUGCGUAACAGCUCACUAGUCGAGGGUCCGGGCAUGGAUAAUAAUCGGGUAUAAGUCAGAUACCGAAGGCGCGGGAUAGUAAUGUAUAUUAAAAGUAUCGGUAGGGGAGCAUUCCAUCGGCGUUGAAUGGUGAGGGUAACCGAUCCUGGAGCUUAUGGAAAAGCAAAUGUAGGUAUAAGUAACGAUAAAAAGGGUGAGAUUCCCUUUCGCCGAAAGACCGAGGUUUCCCGGGCGAUGCCAAUCAGCCCGGGGUUAGUCGGGUCCUAAGUCUCAGCCGAACGGCGAAGGCGAUGGCAGAUGCGGUUAAUAUUCCGCAACUCGCAUAUACAGUGAUGUGGAGACGGAGCAGUGACACUGCCGCGCCCUGACGGAAUAGGGCGUUUAAGUGCGUAGGCUAUGAGGAAGGCAGGCAAAUCCACCUUCCGAGCUGAACCAUGAAAGUACAGGUAAUCCUUCGGGAUAACUUGAGUGCAGGUAAUCAUACUUCCGAGAAAAUCCGCUAAACUUAAUGUAUAUGCGACCCGUACCGCAAACGGACACACGUGGUCGGGUAGAAUAUACUAAGGCGUUGAGAGAUUCAUGGUUAAGGAACUAGGCAAAUUGACCCCGUAACUUCGGGAUAAGGGGUCCUCAUUUUUAAUGAGGCGCAGAGAAUAGGUCCAGGCAACUGUUUAACAAAAACACAGGGCUGUGCAAACUCGAAAGAUGACGUAUACAGCCUGACACCUGCCCGGUGCCGGAAGGUUAAGAGGAGAUGUCACCAGCAAUGGGAAGCAUUGAAUUGAAGCCCCGGUAAACGGCGGCCGUAACUAUAACGGUCCUAAGGUAGCGAAAUUCCUUGUCGGGUAAGUUCCGACCUGCACGAAUGGUGUAAUGAUCUGGACGCUGUCUCAAUCAUGAUCUCAGUGAAAUUGUAGUAUCGGUGAAGAUGCCGAUUACCCGCGAUGGGACGAAAAGACCCCGUGAACCUUUACUACAGCUUAGCAUUGACCUUGGUCAUCCGAUGUGUAGGAUAGGCCGGAGGCUUCGAAGCGGGUGCGCCAGCAUUCGUGGAGCCAUCCUUGAAAUACGGCCCUUUGGCUGUCUGAGGUCUAACGCGCAGUUUGCGCGGACACUGCUUGGUGGGUAGUUUGACUGGGGUGGUCGCCUCCAAAAGCGUAACGGAGGCUUCCA
rnacentral:rRNA from 1 species